rnacentral:rRNA from 1 species
AUUGAACGCUGGCGGCAGGCUUAACACAUGCAAGUCGAGCGGAGAUGAGGUGCUUGCACCUUAUCUUAGCGGCGGACGGGUGAGUAAUGCUUAGGAAUCUGCCUAUUAGUGGGGGACGACAUUCCGAAAGGAAUGCUAAUACCGCAUACGCCCUACGGGGGAAAGCAGGGGAUCUUCGGACCUUGCGCUAAUAGAUGAGCCUAAGUCGGAUUAGCUAGUUGGUGGGGUAAAGGCCUACCAAGGCGACGAUCUGUAGCGGGUCUGAGAGGAUGAUCCGCGACACUGGGACUGAGACACGGCCCAGACUCCUACGGGAGGAAGCAGUGGGGAAUAUUGGACAAUGGGCGGAAGCCUGAUCCAGCCAUGCGGCGUGUGUGAAGAAGGCCUUUUGGUUGUAAAGCACUUUAAGCGAGGAGGAGGCUACCUGGAUUAAUACUCUAGGAUAGUGGACGUUACUCGCAGAAUAAGCACCGGCUAACUCUGUGCCAGCAGCCGCAGUAAUAC